rnacentral:piRNA from 1 species
UGCAGUAAGUUCACAGAAACUAAGUU